rnacentral:misc_RNA from 1 species
CAAAGCCUGACGUUGGAGAAAUUUUUUAUGGGCUAUUUGUCCCUCAAUUGAAAGGAAGUGGUGCUACUGGUCUUGCAAUUUCACUUCUUGGUGCUAUGGUUAUGCCACACAAUCUGUUUCUUCAUUCAGCACUGGUGCUCUCUAGGAAAAUACCCCGAUCCCUUUCUGGCAUCAAGGAAGCUUGCAGAUUUUACAUGAUAGAGAGUGGCUUUGCUCUUAUGGUGGCCUUCCUCAUUAAUGUGUCAGUCAUUUCAGUUAGUGGUGCAGUUUGCAAUGCCCCAGAUCUAAAUAAGGAGGACCAAAUGAGCUGCAAUGAUUUG